CAUUCUCCUCAGUUCCUACUUGGUGAAUGUUUCAUGCAUCCGUGUGAAGAGAGUCCACCAAACAGGCUUUGGGUCUUUACCUCUCAACUGAACCCUGAACUCCUGGAGAAUAGAUGCUGUCGGGAAAUCACCAGCUUCUCACAAAGCAAUGAUCGUUGAAUAAAUCCUUGUUAAAUAAUGACAGUUUUCCUUUUUGGAUUGCUGUGAUCUCUACUCCCAUCACGACUGCUAAGCCUUGGGCAGGAGACCUUGUAUUCCCAGCCAGCUAUUCUUC
rnacentral:lncRNA from 10 species